GAUGAACGCUGGCGGCGUGCCUAAUACAUGCAAGUCGAGCGAACAGAUAAGGAGCUUGCUCCUUUGACGUUAGCGGCGGACGGGUGAGUAACACGUGGGUAACCUACCUAUAAGACUGGGAUAACUUCGGGAAACCGGAGCUAAUACCGGAUAACAUUUGGAACCGCAUGGUUCUAAAGUGAAAGAUGGUUUUGCUAUCACUUAUAGAUGGACCCGCGCCGUAUUAGCUAGUUGGUAAGGUAACGGCUUACCAAGGCAACGAUACGUAGCCGACCUGAGAGGGUGAUCGGCCACACUGGAACUGAGACACGGUCCAGACUCCUACGGGAGGCAGCAGUAGGGAAUCUUCCGCAAUGGGCGAAAGCCUGACGGAGCAACGCCGCGUGAGUGAUGAAGGGUUUCGGCUCGUAAAACUCUGUUAUUAGGGAAGAACAAACGUGUAAGUAACUGUGCACGUCUUGACGGUACCUAAUCAGAAAGCCACGGCUAACCACGUG
rnacentral:rRNA from 1 species